CUAUAUAUCGCCCUCAGGGAUCUCUUCAGCCCUGCCCUAUUUAAAAUUGUCCCAAAAGCGACCACAGAGGAAAAGGAUGCCAUCACAUUUAAACGGAGUCUGGCCAGAUUUCUUCAUGGAAUACCGGAUAAGCCACUAAUACCUGGAUAUAACUCACUCAACAAGAACUCACUACUUGAAUGGACCAUAAACAUAACUUGACUUAAUCAAGAUUUAGAUAAUCCUAUCAGG